AGAGUACCAGUAAGUGGCCAAAGAGAAUCUACCAAUGAAGCCUUGCUCCUGUUCGGUGCUCUUUCUGCUGGCGUCAAAUCCUCAGAAUUUGUUUAGUGUAUCAUUUGCAUCCUUCAGUGAGAUAACAGAGUCCCAAAGCGACGAUCCCAGUGCCUUUAAACAUGGAAGACGCUCAGUAUAUAUUUGUUGAAUAGAUGAACAAAUUAAUUAAAGGACACUACAAAAGAGAGAAUGCUGGAAGCCAGAGCGAGGAUGCAGAGCAACAUGCUUCCACAAUACUAUUUUCUUUCAGUCAUGGCUCUCUCUGUGGAUUGAAAGAAAGAUUCGCGUAUGGCAAAUGGCGCAGCUAGUGUGACGGAGAAUGAGACUGAACUUGUGACAUUUCCAUAUACCCGACCCAAGGUCAGCUGUGUGAAGCAUCUCUCUUGAUCAAUUUUGCCCAUUUCACGAUGUUUCCGGUUACAACUCUGUCCUCCAUCUAAGUGAUUCCCAUCGAUAUGGGAAUCACUGAUCUUCAUUAGUGAUGCAAGACACAUGAUAUCCUGCUAGCACCACAGAAAAAAGUUUCACAGGGCUGGAGCGAUAGCACAGCGGUUGGGCUUUCGACUUUCACUCCGCUGACCCGAGUUUGAUUCCUCCACCCCUCUCGGAGAGUCCGGCAAGCUAACCGAGAGUAUCGAACUCAAGAGGCAGAGCCUGGCAAGCUACCCGUGCAUAUUGGAUAUGCCAAAAACAGUAACAAAAAGUCUCUCAAUGAGAGACGUUACCGGUGCCUGCUCGAACAAAUCGAUGAGCAACGGGAUGACAGUGACAGUGACAAUAGUUUCACAUACUCAUCUGGAAUCCAAUGUCCCUUCUCCUUUUUCAGCAGUGAGUAAUGGCUUUUUCCAUUAGUGUGUCAGGUCUUUCUUAUGUUCAGUCUUUUUCUUUCUGCCAAGAAACUGAGUCUCAGGGAGAAAUCAUGAGACGACCUGAAUCUCCUUGAUUCCAAAGCCCCUGAUUUGUUCUGUGUGUAUCUUUUGUCUGUAGUCAGAGUGUCAUGGACAGGAGGAACCUUGAGAACUAUAGGGCUGGCACAAAGCUUCCCAAAACCUCCAAUAAUGAGUGUGAUGCAUGAUUUUUCAAAAGAGACAUUCAUUCAAGAGUCUUCCUUCAUCAACCUCUAUAGUCACUCACAUGUGUUAUGACUGAAUAUUUCAUAAUGGUAAUAAGAUACAUCUAAUUUAAUUUAGACCUGGUGGAAUUAUUUUCCCUGCCUCUAGCUGUCAUUGAAAGAAAUAACAAAGUUUUUUUUUUAAAUAAGAGGAUACAGAUUAAAUCACAAAGGAGAAUUUCUUUUAUAAUAUAGAGCUUAGUUAGCAGAAUUUCUUUGGUGGGAAAGAUAUGCUUUUUCUAUUUUUAAGUAAAAGAAAUAUACGUCUUUAGAGGUUUAUUUAAGUUUUGCACCGGUUGUUACAAGUACAAAGUUAAGUUAGAUAGUUUGUCAUCUGAGCCAUGUACUAUUUUAGCUAACAUGUUUCU